GUGCUCGCUUUGGCAGCACAUAUACUAAAAUUGGAAUGAUACAGAGAAGAUUAGCAUGGCCCCUGCACAAGGAUGACAUGCAAAUUUGCGAAGCCUUCCAUAUUUAA